GUGCUUUUUUUUUUUUUUUUUUUUGGAUCUCUUUUUUGUUAACUUCUCCUUCCUCGUACAUGUGUUGGCAAGCGAAAAAGAGACAUAUUCCCCUAGGAUGUGCUUUCGAGUUAAAAUUUGUAACAACAUGAAAAUUCAUAUCAAGACAGACAAAAACGUGUUAUUUCAUUUGUUCGAAUGCGUUAUCGUAUUCGAUGUUGAUUUUUAGAAUAAUAGAAUCGUAUGACUUGUUGGCUGUUCAAAUGUACGAAAAUUCUUUUAGCGAUGUAAAAAACAGUGGAGUAAUUAAAUUUGUCAAUAUACUCUUUUUAACUUUGCCUUGAGUACCACAUUCCCUUACAUGCAUGAAAAGUGUUAUUUUAGUCACGGUACUAUGCCAGCAAAUUUGCCGACAGUUAGAAUAAAUAAUUAAUUAAAUGAAUAAAUU